GACGUAGGGCGCGAGCGUUGUCCGGAUUUAUUGGGCGUAAAGAGCUCGUAGGCGGCUUGUCGCGUCGAAUGUGAAAACUUGGGGCUCAACUCCAAGCUUGCAUUCGAUACGGGCAGGCUAGAGUUCGGUAGGGGGGAGACUGGAAUUCCUUGGUGUAGCGGUGAAAAUGCGCAGAUAUCAGGAGGAACACCGGUGGCGAAGGCGGGGUCUCUGGGGCCGAUACUGACGCUGAGGAGCGAAAAGCGUGGGGGAGCGAACGGG
rnacentral:rRNA from 1 species